AUUGUGAUUGGAUGGUUCAUGGCAACUCUUCUUCAACUACCACCCAUAAAAGGCAAACAAUCAAUUGCUACUCUGGCUGUCCGUCAGCUUCUGAGCUUUCUUCAUUAUGGUCUUUUGUUUUGGACUUCCCCUCUACUGCUGAAUCUACUUGCGAGCAGGAGUUGGGACUGAUGAGCAUCGCUGAGAAUAGCUCCACUAGCAAAUGGGGUCCUAAUGAGAAUGCAAUUAACCAAAAUGUAUCAGGUGCUGUUCCUGCUGAUAAGGCACGUGAUAUGGCUAAAUCAAGUGUUUAUGAUGGAACUUCUUCAAUGCCUGAAUUGAUCUCUAUGUCAAACAAUCCAGAGCAGCCAGUAGGAUCUGCAAAUGCGCCUUUGCCAAAGUUAUGCUGUCCUGGAACUAA
rnacentral:misc_RNA from 1 species